AUUAUAAUUAUAUAUAAACGCCCACACAAAUCAUAGAAAGUACGUAGAAAAGGCCACGAAAUAAUUGCACCCAAAAAAAUCAGAUUCCUGAAAACGAAUUCUUCAAAGAGAGUGGGGAAGCUGCAUGUGGCGUCUCCAUCAUUUCUCUGAGAUUGCCACGGAGCUCAAUUGUUAUAUCGUUCAAUCGCUGCUGCUGAGAUGUUUUGUUUUAGGAAUCACUUUUCCCUUUUCUCUUCUGUUGCAACUUCUUCUCGCCAAAGUUUUGAAAUUCGUUUAGAAGACCAUUCUGGUUGAGGCACUGGAAUGGAAUAUUUCGAUACCGAUAGGUUGGUGCAAGUGCUUGGAUGGUGUAGAGCAUUAAACCGGACGGUGCAGAGCAGCCAAGUUUGAUCUUCUGCAUUCACACUUAGUGGCUUUUUCAACAGUGUACAGAGCAAUCUUAAAUUCAUGUGAUUCAUACAACCUAAGAUCCAAUCAAUGGAAUUCAUUGUUAUGCAUGCAUAAAGAAAGCGUGACACAGCUGCUUAAACCAAUUAGAAGGUGAUGAAGUACUAAGGGAGGAAAAUAUGAAAUGAUCUAUGCUUCAAGUACACUAUCUAUUCUGAAUUUGCAAAAGAAUGUGAAAAAGUAUAGUAAUGAGAACCAAGUACGUACUUCUUAAAAGGCCAAAAGACAAAUCUUUAUUCAUACCCAAAUCCUUCUUCUAUAAAAGAAGUUUCCAGCCACUUCUAUGAAAACAUAUGCUAAUAACUCUAAACAGUUAUCUAACUUAUAUGGCUUAUCAAACAUAUGCCAAUAACUCUCAAUACUUAUUAAUUUAUUGUCUUGUUAACAUAGUUGUAAUCAUCACCAUUUAUUAAAACAAGCUAGUUUUAUAUGGCAGAUUUGUACUCAGCAUUAUCUCUGGUUUCAAUUGAGCUAUGUAAAAAGCUUUCUGAUCCAGAAGCGUUUGCAUUCACUCUGCCGCAGUUCAAUCUAACUUCUCCUUCCGACCCCGUUAACACACUGAUAUUCCCCAUUUUAAGCAUCGACUCCACGAAGCUGGCAAAGAAAGCACUCUGGUCACUACUAAAGUUGUUGACAAUAUCAAUGGUGUCCGCUCCUGUCGUUGAGAACAGCUCUUGAUCGGUCUGCAGUAAUCCGUUCAAAAGUUGAAGAUUGGAGAAGUAAUUGUUGUCAAAAGUAUCGGGUGUUGUGAGGUCGAGGUUUGCCAAGCCAGUCUCAUUUCCAUUCUGGGGGCAUAUUCCUUGGAGAGUUUCCAAGUAGGUUGAGUUCAGGGUGACAUCAGGACUACCUGUGUUGUUGAAAUCGUACAAUCGGCCACUGAAAGUCGGACACCGUGCGCGUCCAAACGUGUGAGCGCCUGAAAAUUACGCAUGUCAACUUUGUCAUCCAAUACAUAUUUGCGAAUAUCAAUCAUGAAAAAUUACUUGAAAUGUGACAUAUUUUUGGACGCUAGUGAUGAUUAUAGAAAUGCUACCUGAGAGGGAAACCAGAUCGGUGGUGUUCAGCCCCACAGCUAAGAAGACCAUUUUAAGAGUGUCAAGGGUAUCGACGGCGCUUGGAAGGGAAAUAUCAGCAGCAGUACGGUUGGCUGUUGUGCCGUCCCUUCUUCCCAGUAAAACUGCCCACGAGGGACCAUUUGCCUGUGAGCACCAAUUGGUUUGCUUCAUAUGUAAAACAGACAUGCU